rnacentral:rRNA from 1 species
GACGAACGCUGGCGGCGUGCCUAAUACAUGCAAGUAGAACGCGCAGUUUAUACCGUAGCUUGCUACACCAUAGACUGUGAGUUGCGAACGGGUGAGUAACGCGUAGGUAACCAGCCUGGUAGCGGGGGAUAACUAUUGGAAACGAUAGCUAAUACCGCAUAAUAUUAAUUAUUGCAUGAUAAUUAAUUGAAAGGUGCAAUUGCACCACUACCAGAUGGACCUGCGUUGUAUUAGCUAGUAGGUGAGGUAACGGCUCACCUAGGCGACGAUACAUAGCCGACCUGAGAGGGUGAUCGGCCACACUGGGACUGAGACACGGCCCAGACUCCUACGGGAGGCAGCAGUAGGGAAUCUUCGGCAAUGGACGAAAGUCUGACCGAGCAACGCCGCGUGAGUGAAGAAGGUUUUCGGAUCGUAAAGCUCUGUUGUAAGAGAAGAACGGGUGUGAGAGUGGAAAGUUCACACUGUGACGGUAUCUUACCAGAAAGGGACGGCUAACUACGU